GACGAACGCUGGCGGCGUGCUUAACACAUGCAAGUCGAACGGUAAGGCCCUUCGGGGUACACGAGUGGCGAACGGGUGAGUAACACGUGGGUGAUCUGCCCUGCACUUCGGGAUAAGCCUGGGAAACUGGGUCUAAUACCGGAUAGGACCACUGCCUGCAUGGGUGGUGGUGGAAAGCUUUUGCGGUGUAGGAUGGGCCCGCGGCCUAUCAGCUUGUUGGUGGGGUGAUGGCCUACCAAGGCGACGACGGGUAGCCGGCCUGAGAGGGUGACCGGCCACACUGGGACUGAGAUACGGCCCAGGCUCCUACGGGAGGCAGCAGUGGUGAAUAUUGCACAAUGGGCGCAAGCCUGAUGCAGCGACGCCGCGUGAGGGAUGACGGCCUUCGGGUUGUAAACCUCUUUCAGCACCGACGAAGCGCAAGUGACGGUAGGUGCAGAAGAAGGACCGGCCAACUACGUGCCAGCAGCCGCGGUAA
rnacentral:rRNA from 1 species